GGAAUAUUGGACAAUGGGCGCAAGCCUGAUCCAGCCAUGCCGCGUGCAGGAUGACGGUCCUAUGGAUUGUAAACUGCUUUUAUACAGGAAGAAACACCUCUACGUGUAGAGACUUGACGGUACUGUAAGAAUAAGGAUCGGCUAACUCCGUGCCAGCAGCCGCGGUAAUACGGAGGAUCCAAGCGUUAUCCGGAAUCAUUGGGUUUAAAGGGUCCGUAGGCGGUCAGGUAAGUCAGUGGUGAAAGCCCAUCGCUCAACGGUGGAACGGCCAUUGAUACUGUCUGACUUGAAUUAUUAGGAAGUAACCAGAAUAUGUAGUGUAGCGGUGAAAUGCUUAGAGAUUACAUGGAAUACCAAUUGCGAAGGCAGGUUACUACUAAUUGAUUGACGCUGAUGGACGAAAGCGUGGGUAGCGAACAGGAUUAGAUACCCUGGUAGUCCACGCCGUAAACGAUGGAUACUAGCUGUUGGGAGCAAUCUCAGUGGCUAAGCGAAAGUGAUAAGUAUCCCACCUGGGGAGUACGAACGCAAGUUUGAAACUCAAAGGAAUUGACGGACUUCUAGAAGUCUCUCCAUUUCCCCGG
rnacentral:rRNA from 1 species